AUUGAACGCUGGCGGCAGGCCUAACACAUGCAAGUCGAGCGAGCGGCGGACGGGUGCGUAAUGUUUGGGAAACCGUCUGUUGGCGGGGGAUAACUACUGGAAACGGUUGCUAAUACCGCACACCAUCAGAUGUGCCCAGAGGGGAUUAGCUAGUAGGUGGGGUAACGGCUUACCUAGGCGACGAUCCAUAGCUGGUCUGAGAGGUUGACCAGCCACACUGGAACUGAGACACGGUCCAGACUCCUACGGGAGGCAGCAGUGGGGAAUAUUGCACAAUGGACGAAAGUCUGAUGCAGCAAUGCCGCGUGUGUGAAGAAGGCCUUCGGGUUGUAAAGCACUUUCAGCGGAGAGGCGUUACCCAAAGAAGAAGCACCGGCUAACUCCGUGCCAGCAGCCGCGGUAAUAC
rnacentral:rRNA from 1 species